AUUGAACGCUGGCGGCAGGCCUAACACAUGCAAGUCGAACGAGUGGCGGACGGGUGAGUAAUGUCUGGGAAACUGCCUUAUGGAGGGGGAUAACUACUGGAAACGGUAGCUAAUACCGCAUACCAUCGGAUGUGCCCAGGUGGGAUUAGCUAGUGGGUGGGGUAAAGGCUCACCAAGGCGACGAUCCCUAGCUGGUCUGAGAGGAUGACCAGCCACACGGGAACUGAGACACGGUCCAGACUCCUACGGGAGGCAGCAGUGGGGAAUAUUGCACAAUGGGCGCAAGCCUGACGCAGCCAUGCCGCGUGUAUGAAGAAGGCCUUCGGGUUGUAAAGUACUUUCGGUGGCGAGGCGUUAACCACAGAAGAAGCACCGGCUAACUCCGUGCCAGCAGCCGCGGUAAUUC
rnacentral:rRNA from 1 species